rnacentral:tRNA from 1 species
GUUCCUGUAGUUGAAUACAACGGUGGCUUUUCGAGUCAUUAGUCCUGGUUAAAAUCCUGGUAGGAAUU